CUUUGUUAUCGUGAUCCUGUUGCCAGGACUGGAAGAAAAAUGAGUUUGCUGGUGUGUGUUAAACCACAACAGCUUUAUAUGCAGGUAAAUCAUUACAGUUUGCUGCCACAGUAAUCCUAUACAUUUUAUAUAUAUAUAUUUUGACAUCAUUAUCACAUUUGCAGCAAUAGUGUUUCUACAACAGUUCUGCACAAAAUAUUUGUAGUUCUGGUGUCACCCAAGAUUAAUAAUGUAGACACCGCUAUACUGGCAACAGGGUUGUUCCUUGUAAACCUUUUUUGCAGUUUUCCUGCCAGUCCUUAACAAUAUGCCUCCAGAAGCCUGAGCACGGAUGUUUGGGGUACCGUUCGCUUUGUCCCUGGGUGCUACCAAAGUGCAAGCUGUUUGAAACAGAAAAGCUAAACGAUGGUAACUCAACAGCAAAACAGGACCGUGCCUUAUGCUCGUACUCUCCUGCCUCCUCCCUGGCACUGAAGGCAGAGAAGUUUGCUGCUCUCCCUUGUCACUUGGCACAUUCUGGCAAUGUGAAACUUUGGUCACAAAGGAUUGUCAGUUGUUGGUCUGUUCAAGGUGAUGGAGGAACAGGAAUCUGCAGUCUUCGUAGCUGGACUUUAUUGAGAAUUCAGGGUUUCUGACUGCGUUAACAAGACACCUUUGUACACAGCACUAUUAAGUUCCUAUUUCAAAUUUUGAUGCUUUGCUGUAUCACUAUUGACAGAAAGUCACCAAAAGCUUUACAGUUGCAGAAGGUAACAUUUUCACAAAGAAAACGUAUUGUUUUCAUUUCUCAACCUACCAUACAAAACACGGUGUUUAAAA